rnacentral:rRNA from 1 species
UUUCGCAAUGCCCGAAAGGGUGACGAAGCGACGCCGCGUGAGUGAGGAAGGCCUUCGGGUUGUAAAGCUCUGUCAGGAGUUAAGAAAUAUAAGUGUGCUAAUACCACAUUUAUUUGACAAAAGCUCCAAAGGAAGCCACGGCUAACUCUGUGCCAGCAGCCGCGGUAAUACAGAGGUGGCAAGCAUUGUUCGGAAUUAUUGGGCGUAAAGAGCACGUAGGUGGGUUUGUAAGUCAGAUGUGAAAGCCUUCUGUUCAACGGAAGAAUUGCAUCUGAAACUGCGAGUCUUGAGUGUAGGAGGGGAGAAUGGAACUUCUGGUGGAGCGGUGAAAUGCGUAGAUAUCAGAAGGAACGCCGGCGGCGAAAGCGAUUCUCUGGCCUAUUACUGACACUCAGUGUGCGAAAGCUAGGGGAGCAAACGGGAUUAGAUACCCCGGUAGUCCUAGCUGUAAACGAUGGGCACUAAGUAGAGGGGUUUUA